rnacentral:rRNA from 1 species
AACGAACGCUGGCGGCAUGCCUAACACAUGCAAGUCGAACGAGACCUUCGGGUCUAGUGGCGCACGGGUGCGUAACGCGUGGGAACCUGCCCUUAGGUUCGGAAUAACUCCCCGAAAGGGGUGCUAAUACCGGAUAAUGUCUUCGGACCAAAGAUUUAUCGCCUUUGGAUGGGCCCGCGUUGGAUUAGCUAGUUGGUAGGGUAAAAGCAUACCAAGGCGACGAUCCAUAGCUGGUCUGAGAGGAUGAUCAGCCACACUGGGACUAAGACACGGCCCAGACUCCUACGGGAGGCAGCAGUGGGGAAUAUUGGAAAAUGGGCGAAAGCCUGAUCCAGCAAUGCCGCGUGAGUGAUGAAGGCCUUAGGGUUGUAAAGCUCUUUUACCCGGGAUGAUAAUGACAGUACCGGGAGAAUAAGCUCCGGCUAACUCCGUG